rnacentral:rRNA from 1 species
UGAGUAAUAUAUCGGAACGUGCCCAGUCGUGGGGGAUAACGUAGCGAAAGCUACGCUAAUACCGCAUACGAUCUAUGGAUGAAAGCGGGGGAUCGCAAGACCUCGCGCGAUUGGAGCGGCCGAUAUCAGAUUAGGUAGUUGGUGAGGUAAAAGGCUCACCCAAGCCGACGAUCUGUAGCUGGUCUGAGAGGACGACCAGCCACACUGGGACUGAGACACGGCCCAGACUCCUACGGGAGGCAGCAGUGGGGAAUUUUUGGACAAUGGGCGCAAGCCUGAUCCAGCAAUGCCGCGUGAGUGAUGAAGGCCUUCGGGUUGUAAAGCUCUUUUACUCGGGACGAUAAUGACGGUACCGAGAGAAUAAGCCCCGGCUAACUCCGUG